AUCUAACCAAUGUGUCUGUGUCUGUGUCUAUGUCUAUGUCUGUGCACGCGUGUGUUAAACUGCAGAAUUGCACAAACUGUGGAGUAGUCGGCAGAGGAAUCACUGCGAA